GUUUUUCCCUCGAUUUGUUAAUCCUUGAGAAAAAAAAAAAGUUUAAGUUUGUAAUCCAGUUGUUGAAUUUUUUUUUUUUUAGAAAGUGAAACGAGUCGAUGAAAACAAAAUUCAAAGUUUUUCGAUUCGUUAUUUAAAUGAAUAUUCAAAUUGCAAAGUAUACGGUAUGAGGUAUAAAACGAAUUUUGAUUUUAAUCCUAUUUCUUAUAAUUGCGUUCAUAAAAUUCGUAAUUCGCGCGAAAAAAAGAUUCGCCCAAUCUGAUUAAACGCGAGAGAAAAUUCUACGUUUUUCUAAUUCGAAGCUUAUAUAAUUUUUAUUGUUUUUUGCUUGUAUGAAAAAUUGCUAAAAUGCUAAAAUUGAAGUUUCUCGCGCUCCCUUCUUAUUAAAGAAGAAUUAUUUUUUCCUUAAUAAUUCAAUUUGAAAUAUUAAAAAUAUUAAAAAUAUUUUAUCGAAUUUAAUUUGAAUUCAGUGUGGCGGGAUUCGUGAAACGAGUACGAGGGAUAAAAAAAAUGUAUUAGAGGAACUGUUAACAAAGUGAAUUAAUUACAAUGUAGUUAUAAUUAAUUUCGCAACGUUUCGUAAAUUUAACAAGCUGCUGUUGUACAUUCUAGAACGUGUGUUUGAAACGAAACGAAACGAAAAUUUAAUCGAUAAAAAAAAAAAAGAAUCCUUUCCUUAUCGAAUCUUCUUCGAGACGUCAAAUAUCUUUCCAUCGCGUUAUAUUUUUUUUAUUAUCGAUACAAACAAAUAAAGAAUUCAAGGAAAUAUUCCUAUAGUUGAACGAAGUAUUUCCAUCAUUGAAAAUUAAUUUUCCAAUCCAAAAUUAUUAUCUGACGAGGUAGAAUUCAAAUUACACUUCAAAUUACAUCCAAUGUCAAAUAUUAAAAUAUAAUACCUAGAAUCUCCCAUCAUUAUUAAUUCGUUCAAAUUAUUUUAUCCUUCCUUUUCUUAUAGAAAUUGUUCAAAAAAAGAAAAAGAAAUCUAGAAUCCAUUGGAUCUCUUCAAAAAUAUUAUUAAAUAUUGAUGAUCAUCAUUUUCCAUCUAUCAACAAUCACCAUUGAAGGAAGCCAGGAUCAGAAAUAAUAUCAUUGCCUUGCCAGAAGAGGUGCAUCGUCGUUGGAGUGGCAUCUAAUAAAGCAUUGGUGGCCGAGAAAAGCCACGCCAGGCUGAAUGAAAUUUUCCAACUGGGAUGCAGCUUUUCUUCACGUGGCCGUCCACUUCCUGGACACGGUCACACUUCCGACCGCAGUAACCAAAGGGGUGGUCUGUUUUCGGUGUGCUUUAUUGAAGUUUAUUAGGAUUUUAUCAUUUUAUCUUGAAGGCUUCAAGAAUUAUUCUUCGCUCUGUAUCAGCACCGAAUAAUGUAAAAAUUAAUGAAAUUUCAAAUCCAAUUUGUAUUGAAUUCGUGCAUUCGAAAAUAUCUGAAAUUUUCAAUCAUCUGUUUUCCAUUCCUAAUAAUCCACGUAACGGCAUCGAGGGAUGAGGAACGGCAAAUCAAAGAAGGUGAAAAAUUCACCAAAAUGAGUUAGUAUUGAACGAUGAUUUAAGAGAGAAUUAUUUUAUCUCGAAUAACCUGUUGAGAAAAUUAUUAGAAGAAAAUUCGAAUUCGCUACCAUCAUUUACUGGAUGCUAUCCAUCGAAGGCGUUCCUUUAUUGCAUAAAACCUUAGGUGGUGUGCGCAUGCAACCAAUAUUCUUGCAUGGAGGGAGGAAAUUUGUCUCGCUGAAUUUUCAAAAAAAAACCAUCGAUUAUUCUGGAUUAUUCUUCUCUCUGUUUUGUAUGGGAAAUUAAUAAGGGCGCUGCAAUAAGGAUAUUAUUAUUUUUGUUAUACGAGAGAAAAGUAGAAAGUAAAAUAAUAGUAAAAGAAUUUUUUCAAUAUUAUACUACUUUUGGAUCUGAAGAAAAUUGUAUAUAAUACUUUGAAAGUUAUUGUGAAGACGAUGAGUGAAUUUUUGGAUCUGAAGAAAAAUUUCAAUUUUGGAAUAUUAUUAUUGUUACUACUUCACUCGUUGGAUUUUUUAGAGAUCCUGAAUUUUUCAAAGCGUUUCCCUUGAAGCGUUGAUUCGAAUUUCUAUUUAAAAUAUAAAUUUCGAAUUUUAGAAUCUCAAAUAAUAUUGAAAAUCCAAUUGACAUCAGAGAUCCUCGCGUGCCAUCGAAUUCGUUGCGCAUUUGUUCGAGCACUUGGGGUCGAUGGACGCACUCGAUGCACUCCAUACUGCUCAGUUUGAUUGACAAACGAUGUUCGAUUUAGAAUUUCGAUUCGUUUAUUCUCUGCUAAUUUUGAUGAAUAUUCGCGUGGAAAUUUUCGAAAUUCGAAUAAAUUGUAUUCGACACGUAUUCGUUCGAAAAUUGUGAAAAUUCUAGCUCUUUUGGAAAUACAGAAUUGCAAAUUUACGGAUCAUAGACGUAUAGAUUUGCAGAUUCGCAGAAUUCUUUCAGAAUAACUUUCUUCAUAUUCUUCAAAUUCUGUGUAUAUAUAGACCAGAUUGGAAAAUUUUGGUCGGUGGUGUACAUCGUACGUACAUUACGUCCUUUUGCUGUCGAUCAUUUAUGAAAUUUUCAAUUUCACCCAACAUAACUGUAACUGAUUUUGGAUUGAAAUUACUGCAGAUGCAGAGAAUAGGUCGUUUAUUGGCGAGAUAUAAAAUAAACAUGAUAACAACCACGUGAUUCAUCGAUUUCGUCCACUAAUUGAAAUAUCGUAUCAAUCUCGGUAUAUUUCCGAAAUUUAAACAUUUAUUUUUCUCAAUAAUUCCAAUACCAAGAACAGAAUCACGAUAUUUUCAAUGCUUGCACUAAAAAAAAAAAACGAUUUCUAUUUUAUAAAAUUUAUAAAUUUUCCAUUUAAAAAUUUCCCUCCUAUAAUUUUAUUAAUUUUAUUAGUAAUUUUAUUCCCCAUACUUACAAAACAAUUUUCAUUAAAAAAAUAAAAAUUUCAUCUCUCUUCAAUAAUGAUUCAAACUUUAAAAAUACGUAAUAUUUUAAACUUUAUUAAACAACACGAAGAUACUCUUCGCUCGACUCGGUAUUUUCUCUGGUAAGAAAAAAAAAAAAAGAGAGAAAAGAAAAAGAAAAUAACCUUUCGAAAAGUAUAAGGCGCGGGCAAAAAUUGUUCCAGCGCCGGAAGUGUUAUCAAAGUUUUUCGAUCAAGAAACCACGACUUGUUUUUAACCACGAUUUAAUGUUCCAUGAAACGCGAGUCGAGAUUAAAACAGGAUCGCGUCGAUUUUUACACGAGUUAUCCCUUCACCGUUGUUUCGAAGCGAGAGCUUCGUUAUUUCUUCCCAACUUGGCGUGAUAAAAACGCCAUCUGUAUGUAAAAACCUAUCUUUUUGCCAACUGAGUCUAGUGAUUUACGAUCUUUGUGCGAAUUCGAGCAUGGCUAACUAUGGUGACACGUUUAAGUGAUAUAAUAUCGUGGUGUACUUUGUUGCAUUUUUAAUUGCCAGAUUAAAUGGCUUGAUUAACCGAUAGGAGAACAAAUUUUUGGCUUAAUUUAUUGGACGUGAUCGUGGCCAAGACUCUUGGGAUUCGACAUUGACAGUUCCACUUCUACUAAAGAUGUAAUACUUAGUCUCAAGAGAGAUUGCAUCCAUAAAGUUGAAUUUGUGUUACCUGGUUCAUAAAAUUUCGAAGAAUUCGAAAUUCAACUUUAAUAUUAGAAAAUUCGACAGAUUUAUAUCUUUUCAAGUUCGCACUAGGAUUGAACCAGAUGUCACAAACUUUGCAAGACUUUUACACGUCGACGAGGUCUAUAUCGGGUCUAUGAAAACUUUCAAAAAUUACUAUCGGUAAUAUUUUUUCCAAGUGGAUUUUAAGAGUAACUGUUCAAUAACAACUUUCGUCCUCAAACAAAAAAUAUUGUUAAAUGGAACGAUAUUUCUUCUUACUUUUGAUAUAAUAUUAUACAAUGUGGUUAUAAAUAUUGAUAGAUUAUAUUCCGAAUCACUUGAUCAUCACCCAAAUAACUUCAAAGAUCUUAAAAAAAACUCAACAUGUUAGUGAUAAGUUAUUUCCAAUGAAUAACAAGGAAAAUUGGAACGUGUGUAUAUAAAUAAAAUAAGAGAUGCAAAAAGGUCAAAGUAUUCGAGGAGAGAAUAGGAGGAAUGAGAAAAAGGAUGGCGAACGAAGAAAAGCACUUACUUUAGAAGGGACAAAGGAGAAUUAAUAGAUAGGACGUGAAAUGAAAGAGUGGUGAAGUUGUACGAGUUCUGCGAUUUCAUCGCUCGCAGCGGAAAGAAAUUCGAAUUGGAAUAGGGAGGAAGAUAAGACAGUCUCGAUAACGAGAUUGAUGGAACCUUGAAGAGAAUUGUUCUAUUUCUUCGAAAUCGCGAUUCCUUUUUUUUUUUCGAAUCUUUAUUUUCGGCUAAUGUCCGACAUAUCGGAUUACGAUUUAUGAUGAAACUGAUUCAAUCUUCUUGAGAAAUUAUCAUCUUAAUCUUUUAUGGUGCGUAGUUAUUUGAUAUAAAUAAAAUAUGAAGAAAUAAUGUGAGUGUAAUAUAAUAACUAUAAUAAGGAUAUAUUAAAGUUACUAUUAUUCAAAUUUUACUAGAAAUAUAGUAACUAUAUUAUAAAUUAUAGAUUAUAAAUUAUAAUUAUAAUUAUAUAUUAUAUAUUAAUUAGAAUAUAGAAUUAGAAUAUAGAAAAGAUAGAAUUAUAAAUUAAUUAGAAUAAUUUGUUAUCUAAAUUUUGUUUAUUUCAAAUUUGAUAUGAUAAUUUAAUAUUAAUCUGUCAAAAUAUUUUUAUUUAAAUUAGGAAAAAUAGAAGCUCAUAGCUACAUCAUUUGGAAUUCGAAUUAAAUCUUAAUUUAUCAAUUUCACAAAGUACUUUUUUCUUUAUCUUUCACUAUUAUACAUUAUCGAGAUAAAAGUUAUCGCCAUCUUUAUUUCGAUACUAUCGAAUCUAUCAUAAACUAGAAAUCGUUUAAAUGCAAUGGAAAAACUUUAUUCUAAAUAUUAACCAAAACUGUUAUUGGAGUUUGUAAGUAGUAUUUAUAGUCUCGUUACCCAAAUAGGUUUCUACGUUACCAGGAGAUAGAAUCCCGCAAUCAAGAUCUCCUGUCCUGAUAAAAUGGACAGCAUAUGGGGAAUAGCUGUCAGUUUCGUUUAUAUCGGGAAAAAAAAAAUGGGAAAAAAGGAAGUAAAUGUAGAAUGACAUUGUGAAACGAUUCCUGAUAGGUGGAACGCAAAUUGACUGUCGCGUUAAAGUAAAAAUGUAAAUAUAUAUAUAUAUAUAUAUAUAUAGUUGCAUAUAAAUAUUACAUUAAGUAUUGUGUAAUUUUUAAUGUAAAAUUAUAUGAAUGAUCGAAAAAAAAUUUAUUAAAGAAAUUAAAAUUUAUAAUCAAUUUUACAAAAAAUACAAAUUAAAAUUUGUACGAAUAUAAAUGGAAAUUUGAAAUUAAAUUAAAGACUUGAUUCACAAUUUAAG